rnacentral:rRNA from 1 species
GGUGAGUAACACGUGGGUAACCUGCCCAGAAGUAGGGGAUAACACCUGGAAACAGAUGCUAAUACCGUAUAACAGAGAAAACCGCAUGGUUUUCUUUUAAAAGAUGGCUCUGCUAUCACUUCUGGAUGGACCCGCGGCGUAUUAGCUAGUUGGUGAGGUAAAGGCUCACCAAGGCAGUGAUACGUAGCCGACCUGAGAGGGUAAUCGGCCACAUUGGGACUGAGACACGGCCCAGACUCCUACGGGAGGCAGCAGUAGGGAAUCUUCCACAAUGGACGCAAGUCUGAUGGAGCAACGCCGCGUGAGUGAAGAAGGGUUUCGGCUCGUAAAGCUCUGUUGUUAAAGAAGAACGUGGGUAAGAGUAACUGUUUACCCAGUGACGGUAUUUAACCAGAAAGCCACGGCUAACUACGUGCCAGCAGCCGCGGUAAUACGUAGGUGGCAAGCGUUAUCCGGAUUUAUUGGG